rnacentral:rRNA from 1 species
UGCGUAGGUGGUUUAGCAAGUUGGUAGCGUAACCCCGGGGCUCAACCUCGGAACUACUACCAAAACUGUUGAACUUGAGUGCAGGAGGGGCAAUUGGAAUUCCUAGUGUAGCGGUGGAAUGCGUAGAUAUUAGGAGGAACACCAGUGGCGAAGGCGAAUUGCUGGACUGUAACUGACACUGAGGCACGAAAGCGUGGGGAGCAAACA